GAGGCAGAAGCAGCAGGAAGCUGAAGAGUUGGAAGCUGACAUCAGAGAAGAGAAAGCUUCCUGGAAGACUCAAAUACAGUAUGACAAAACCAACGUCUUGGCAGAUUUUGAGCAACUGAGAGACAUCCUGGACUGGGAGGAGAGCAAUGAGCUGCAAAACCUGGAGAAGGAGGAGGAAGACAUUCUGAAAAGCCUUACGAAGUCUGAAACUGAGAUGGUGCAGCAGACCCAGUCCGUGAGAGAGCUCAUCUCAGAUCUGGAGCGUCGGCUGCAGGGGUCAGUGAUGGAGCUGCUUCAGGAUGGAGAACGUGACCUUGAAGAAGCCAGAAACUUUUCCAAAAAAUCAAAGGAGAGUGUUUCGAGCUCCUGAUCUGAAAGGAAUGCUAGAAGUGUUUAGAGAGCUGACAGAUGUCCGACGCUACUGGGGUAAGGAGAAGUCACAUUAUCAUAAGCCACCCUGCGGCUUAUCAUUAUUAUUAUCUUUAUCUUUUAGAAUUUUAUGUUCUCUAUUAGGCUCAUGUUUUAAGAUUUAUGAUUCUCCUUCCAAGACACACAUAACUUACCCCUCCUUAUAACUUCUAAACAAGGUUCCUCCCAGUUUUCUCUCAAGUCUUCAUCAAGAUUUCUCUCAUAUCACAAAUAAAGUACAUUAUAUCCCUUA
rnacentral:sRNA from 1 species